rnacentral:rRNA from 1 species
GAUGAACGCUAGCUACAGGCUUAACACAUGCAAGUCGCGGGGCAGCAUGGGGUUUCUUUCAAUCCCCCGUGGCCGCCGGCGCACGGGUGAGUAACGCGUUUCCCACCCUCCCUUCCCCACGGGAUUACCCGGCGAAAGGCGGACUUAUUCCGUAUGGUGUUCAUUUACCGCAUCCCGUUUUGACGAAAGGUUUUGCGGUUAAGGGUGGGGAUGCGUCCGAUUAGCUGGACGGCGGGGUGACGGCCCACCGUGGCGACGAUCGGUAGGGGUUCUGAGAGGAAGGUCCCCCACACUGGAACUGAGACACGGUCCAGACUCCUACGGGAGGCAGCAGUGAGGAAUAUUGGUCAAUGGGCGUAAGCCUGAACCAGCCAAGUAGCGUGCAGGAUGACGGCCCUAUGGGUUGUAAACUGCUUUUAUGCGGGGAUAAAGUGGCCCACGUGUGGGUUUUUGCAGGUACCGCAUGAAUAAGGACCGGCUAAUUCCGUG